ACAAGUGGGGAGAAAUCUUAACAUCAUGCACAAGGGCAACGGGUCCCAGUAACAUCUUUAACGUUAUGGGCCUUAGUCAGGGCUGCUUUGUCCCCACUCUACACAGAAGAGCCUAAAAAGGGAAGGGAGGAAGAACCAUCAUCUACCUUACCACCUCCUCCUUCUCCCUGAGCCCCGCCGUUACCGAGUAAAGGUGCCACAGAGGAGACAAAUAUUUUCCCUGAGCCCUCUCUCCCAAUAUAUUGGAAAAAAUACAAGGGAUACACUACUGUUAUGGGACCCUGUCUUAGGCAAGUGGAAUUAGAAGGGAGCUCUUGACCUGCCCGGUGAUGCAAGAUCAACAAGACAAUCAGAGAACAAUGUUUGAAGUGCUUCCCAUGGAAAAUGGAGCUCAGAAAAAGAGGUAAUGGUGCAUGACCCCUCACAUGGCUACACACUGUCAUCUGCUCAGUCUAAGAAAAGAUGGGCUAUGAAUAGCAGUCAAGAGAAAUUGUUUAAGAAAAGCAAUUCUGCAGUUGCCAUUGAGGAAAUAGUCUUGGCUGAAGAGACCACAAAUCCAGAGAAAUGAUCGAAAUUGAUUGAGAACACCAGAGCCUGGUGCAAGGAGGUUCCUGGAGAAAGAAACACAAAAAUGUUGUGGUUACUUGUGCUGAUUGCUAAGUCCAUGGAACUUCUCAAGUCAUUUGAGAGCAAACGCUGAUUAGUCCAGGUUUGUGUGAGCCAUAAGCAGCAACAGACUCAGCACACUCUCCAUAGGCUGCCUUGCUCUUGCUGAGGAUAAUAUCACAGAUCAAACAACUCUGGCAACUAAAUGAACAAAUUAUCUGAGAGCCUUUUAUCCAUCCACCCUUCCAACCAUCCUUCCAUCCAUCCAUCCCUGCAUUUUACAAGUAUCAUUUGAGUGAGUGCUGUUUCUUUGCAAGAUACUGCUUGGUUCUGAAAAUUCUACUCUAAGCAAGAAAAAUUG